GGUUAAGCGACUAAGCGUACACGGUGGAUGCCCUGGCAGUCAGAGGCGAUGAAGGACGUGCUAAUCUGCGAUAAGCGUCGGUAAGGUGAUAUGAACCGUUAUAACCGGCGAUUUCCGAAUGGGGAAACCCAGUGUGUUUCGACACACUAUCAUUAACUGAAUCCAUAGGUUAAUGAGGCGAACCGGGGGAACUGAAACAUCUAAGUACCCCGAGGAAAAGAAAUCAACCGAGAUUCCCCCAGUAGCGGCGAGCGAACGGGGAGCAGCCCAGAGCCUGAAUCAGUGUGUGUGUUAGUGGAAGCGUCUGGAAAGGCGCGCGAUACAGGGUGACAGCCCCGUACACAAAAAUGCACAUGCUGUGAGCUCGAUGAGUAGGGCGGGACACGUGGUAUCCUGUCUGAAUAUGGGGGGACCAUCCUCCAAGGCUAAAUACUCCUGACUGACCGAUAGUGAACCAGUACCGUGAGGGAAAGGCGAAAAGAACCCCGGCGAGGGGAGUGAAAAAGAACCUGAAACCGUGUACGUACAAGCAGUGGGAGCACGCUUAGGCGUGUGACUGCGUACCUUUUGUAUAAUGGGUCAGCGACUUAUAUUCUGUAGCAAGGUUAACCGAAUAGGGGAGCCGAAGGGAAACCGAGUCUUAACUGGGCGUUAAGUUGCAGGGUAUAGACCCGAAACCCGGUGAUCUAGCCAUGGGCAGGUUGAAGGUUGGGUAACACUAACUGGAGGACCGAACCGACUAAUGUUGAAAAAUUAGCGGAUGACUUGUGGCUGGGGGUGAAAGGCCAAUCAAACCGGGAGAUAGCUGGUUCUCCCCGAAAGCUAUUUAGGUAGCGCCUCGUGAAUUCAUCUCCGGGGGUAGAGCACUGUUUCGGCAAGGGGGUCAUCCCGACUUACCAACCCGAUGCAAACUGCGAAUACCGGAGAAUGUUAUCACGGGAGACACACGGCGGGUGCUAACGUCCGUCGUGAAGAGGGAAACAACCCAGACCGCCAGCUAAGGUCCCAAAGUCAUGGUUAAGUGGGAAACGAUGUGGGAAGGCCCAGACAGCCAGGAUGUUGGCUUAGAAGCAGCCAUCAUUUAAAGAAAGCGUAAUAGCUCACUGGUCGAGUCGGCCUGCGCGGAAGAUGUAACGGGGCUAAACCAUGCACCGAAGCUGCGGCAGCGACGCUGAUGCGUUGUUGGGUAGGGGAGCGUUCUGUAAGCCUGUGAAGGUGUGCUGUGAGGCAUGCUGGAGGUAUCAGAAGUGCGAAUGCUGACAUAAGUAACGAUAAAGCGGGUGAAAAGCCCGCUCGCCGGAAGACCAAGGGUUCCUGUCCAACGUUAAUCGGGGCAGGGUGAGUCGACCCCUAAGGCGAGGCCGAAAGGCGUAGUCGAUGGGAAACAGGUUAAUAUUCCUGUACUUGGUGUUACUGCGAAGGGGGGACGGAGAAGGCUAUGUUGGCCGGGCGACGGUUGUCCCGGUUUAAGCGUGUAGGCUGGUUUUCCAGGCAAAUCCGGAAAAUCAAGGCUGAGGCGUGAUGACGAAGCACUACGGUGCUGAAGCAACAAAUGCCCUGCUUCCAGGAAAAGCCUCUAAGCAUCAGGUAACAUCAAAUCGUACCCCAAACCGACACAGGUGGUCAGGUAGAGAAUACCAAGGCGCUUGAGAGAACUCGGGUGAAGGAACUAGGCAAAAUGGUGCCGUAACUUCGGGAGAAGGCACGCUGAUAUGUAGGUGAAGUCCCUUGCGGAUGGAGCUGAAAUCAGUCGAAGAUACCAGCUGGCUGCAACUGUUUAUUAAAAACACAGCACUGUGCAAACACGAAAGUGGACGUAUACGGUGUGACGCCUGCCCGGUGCCGGAAGGUUAAUUGAUGGGGUUAGCGGUAACGCGAAGCUCUUGAUCGAAGCCCCGGUAAACGGCGGCCGUAACUAUAACGGUCCUAAGGUAGCGAAAUUCCUUGUCGGGUAAGUUCCGACCUGCACGAAUGGCGUAAUGAUGGCCAGGCUGUCUCCACCCGAGACUCAGUGAAAUUGAACUCGCUGUGAAGAUGCAGUGUACCCGCGGCAAGACGGAAAGACCCCGUGAACCUUUACUAUAGCUUGACACUGAACAUUGAGCCUUGAUGUGUAGGAUAGGUGGGAGGCUUUGAAGUGUGGACGCCAGUCUGCAUGGAGCCGACCUUGAAAUACCACCCUUUAAUGUUUGAUGUUCUAACGUUGACCCGUAAUCCGGGUUGCGGACAGUGUCUGGUGGGUAGUUUGACUGGGGCGGUCUCCUCCUAAAGAGUAACGGAGGAGCACGAAGGUUGGCUAAUCCUGGUCGGACAUCAGGAGGUUAGUGCAAUGGCAUAAGCCAGCUUGACUGCGAGCGUGACGGCGCGAGCAGGUGCGAAAGCAGGUCAUAGUGAUCCGGUGGUUCUGAAUGGAAGGGCCAUCGCUCAACGGAUAAAAGGUACUCCGGGGAUAACAGGCUGAUACCGCCCAAGAGUUCAUAUCGACGGCGGUGUUUGGCACCUCGAUGUCGGCUCAUCACAUCCUGGGGCUGAAGUAGGUCCCAAGGGUAUGGCUGUUCGCCAUUUAAAGUGGUACGCGAGCUGGGUUUAGAACGUCGUGAGACAGUUCGGUCCCUAUCUGCCGUGGGCGCUGGAGAACUGAGGGGGGCUGCUCCUAGUACGAGAGGACCGGAGUGGACGCAUCACUGGUGUUCGGGUUGUCAUGCCAAUGGCACUGCCCGGUAGCUAAAUGCGGAAGAGAUAAGUGCUGAAAGCAUCUAAGCACGAAACUUGCCCCGAGAUGAGUUCUCCCUGACUCCUUGAGAGUCCUGAAGGAACGUUGAAGACGACGACGUUGAUAGGCCGGGUGUGUAAGCGCAGCGAUGCGUUGAGCUAACCGGUACUAAUGAACCGUGAGGCUUAACCUU
rnacentral:rRNA from 1 species